CGGAGGAAGGUGGGGAUGACGUCAAGUCAUCAUGGCCCUUACGGCCUGGGCUACACACGUGCUACAAUGGUCGGUACAAAGGGUUGCCAAGCCGCGAGGUGGAGCUAAUCCCAUAAAACCGAUCGUAGUCCGGAUCGCAGUCUGCAACUCGACUGCGUGAAGUCGGAAUCGCUAGUAAUCGUGAAUCAGAAUGUCACGGUGAAUACGUUCCCGGGCCUU
rnacentral:rRNA from 1 species